rnacentral:lncRNA from 1 species
CAUUUCAGUCGUUCUUAUUCAUAGUUCUGUUGUAACAGUUUUUGUUUUAGGAAUAAACGUGUCUAAAAUAUAAACUGAGUAUAUAAACGUCAUACGAUAGAUCAGAAGGUGUGUAGCUACUGAGAAAUUUGAAGUUGAUAGUUUGAAAACAGGGGCGAGAGAUACCAGAGGAACAGCCAAAUUCAUAAAUCGAAAAUAUACUGACAACGCCACUGCUAAAAAUGAAACAGAGAAACAGACAAAUAAUAGUACACAAGAAACAACAUAGAACAUUAAAGACUGAGCAACACGAACCCCACCAAAAACUGGGGUGAUCUCAAGUGCUCCAGAAUGGAAAGUUGACAACACC